rnacentral:tRNA from 1 species
GGUUGUAGCUCAGUGGCAGAGCACUUGCCUAGCAUGUGUGAGGCACUGGGUUUGAUUCUCAGCACUG